rnacentral:misc_RNA from 1 species
AAGUCGUAACAAGGUAACCGUAGGUGAACCUGCGGUUGGAUCAUUAACAAAAUUAAUCUUAGUUAAGGGUGUUUUCUGUCAAGGAAAGCCUCUUAAUUUUGAAACCCACUAUGUGAACCGUUUUUAUAUAACACUUGGGAGUGAUUAAAUUCAUUCCCAGGUAACCAAAUUAAACUUGUAUUAACUAAAAAUUAAAUGCCUUAAUGAAAACCUAAAGAAUAAAUUGUAAAAAACAACUUUUGACAACGGAUCUCUAGGCUCUC